UGCAGCGUCUGCUCACAAUCCCAGCAAAUGCUCUUAAUUGUUCAGGGUCAGCAGUUCACUGAGCAAAUCCUUGGGACCCUGGGGGGUCUCUCCGAUCACUGAGGGGGGUUCCAGAGACUUCCGG